AUCAUCAAGUUCGAGGGCUGCUACCACGGCCACGCCGAUCCCUUCCUCGUGCAGGCGGGCUCCGGCGUCGCCACCCUCGGCCUCCCCGACUCCCCCGGCGUCCCCAAGGCGGCCACCAACACCACCCUCUGCGCUCCCUACAACGACCUCGAGGCUGUCAAGAAGAUCUUCGAGGAGAACAAGGGCGAGAUCGCUGGUGUGAUUCUCGAGCCCGUCGUCGGCAACUCCGGCUUCAUUGUCCCCGACAAGGAGUUCCUCGAGGGCCUUCGCGAGAUCACCAAGGCUGAGGGCGCUCUCCUCACCUUCGACGAGGUCAUGACCGGAUUCCGCAUCGCCAAGGGCUGCGCGCAGGAGUACUGGGGCGUCACCCCCGACCUCACCACCAUGGGCAAGGUCAUCGGCGGCGGCCUCCCCGUUGGCGCCUACGGUGGCC
rnacentral:lncRNA from 1 species